rnacentral:lncRNA from 1 species
CUUCUUCUCCUGUCUGAAAGCCCUUCAAGAAGAGGUUGUUGGUCUUUUCUGCUUUUAGUGUGUAUUGUUUCCUGCAUACACAAGAAACAAACCCUAAAAGCACUUUUACAGAAAAAAAAAGAAAAAAAAAAGAAAACAAAAUAAAAACAAAUAAUUACAAAUAAUUCAAAUUUCAGUCAAUUCACACUACUUGAAAAAGUAAACCUCGAGUCCCCGACAACGGUGCCAAAAACUUGUUGACUCCCUAGCAAGUGUACCAGAUCGUUUCAAGUAAUAUAAUUGGUAAAACCCAAUAUCGUUC